UGCCAGCCGCCGCGGUAAUACAGAGGUCACAAACGUUGUCCGGAAUCACUGGGCGUAAAGGGCAUGCAGGUGGUCAGGUAAGUCAGGUGUGAAAUCUUCGGGCUCAACCCGGAAAUUGCACUUGAAACUGCCAGACUUGAGUUCGGUAGAGGAGGGCGGAAUUCCAGGUGUAGCGGUGAAAUGCGUAGAUAUCUGGAGGAACACCGGUGGCGAAGGCGGCCCUCUGGUCCGAUACUGACACUGAGGUGCGAAAGCGUGGGGAGCAAACAGGAUUAGAUA
rnacentral:rRNA from 1 species